GAUGAACGCUAGCUACAGGCUUAACACAUGCAAGUCGAGGGGCAGCAUGGAAGUUUGCUUGCAAACUUUUGAUGGCGACCGGCGCACGGGUGAGUAACACGUAUCCAACCUGCCUCAUACUCGGGGAUAGCCUUUCGAAAGAAAGAUUAAUACCCGAUGUCAUAGUCCUACCGCAUGAUGGGAUUAUUAAAGAAUUUCGGUAUGGGAUGGGGAUGCGUUCCAGUAGUUAGUUGGCGGGGUAACGGCCCACCAAGACAACGAUGGAUAGGGGUUCUGAGAGGAAGGUCCCCCACAUUGGAACUGAGACACGGUCCAA
rnacentral:rRNA from 1 species